ACGUAGGUGGCAAGCGUUGUUCGGAAUUAUUGGGCGUAAAGGGCGCGUAGGCGGUUUGUUAAGUCUGAUGUGAAAGCCCUGGGCUCAACCUGGGAAUGGCAUUGGAUACUGGCGACCUAGAGUGCGGUAGAGGGUAGCGGAAUUCCCGGUGUAGCAGUGAAAUGCGUAGAUACCGGGAGGAACAUCCGUGGCGAAGGCGGCUACCUGGACCAGCACUGACACUGAGGCACGAAAGCGUGGGGAGCAAACAGGA
rnacentral:rRNA from 1 species